rnacentral:tRNA from 1 species
GCAGCGGUAGUUCAGUCGGUUAGAAUACCGGCCUGUCCCGCCGGGGGUCGCGGGGUCGAGUCCCGUCCGCUGCGCCA